UACAGAGGUGCCAAGCGUUGUUCGGAUUUAUUGGGCGUAAAGGGUGCGUAGGCGGCCAUACAAGUCAGGUGUGAAAUCCCGGAGCUUAACUCCGGAAUGGCAUUCGAAACUGUAUGGCUCGAGAUCUGGAGAGGUGAUUGGAAUUCUCGGUGUAGCAGUGAAAUGCGUAGAUAUCGAGAGGAACACCAGAGGCGAAAGCGAAUCACUGGACAGUAUCUGACGCUGAGGCACGAAAGCUAGGGGAGCAAACGGG
rnacentral:rRNA from 1 species